rnacentral:rRNA from 1 species
AAAAUGUACCGGGGCUAAACAUAUUACCGAAGCUGUGGAUUGUCCUUUGGACAAUGGUAGGAGAGCGUUCUAAGGGCGUUGAAGCAUGAUCGUAAGGACAUGUGGAGCGCUUAGAAGUGAGAAUGCCGGUGUGAGUAGCGAAAGACGGGUGAGAAUCCCGUCCACCGAUUGACUAAGGUUUCCAGAGGAAGGCUCGUCCGCUCUGGGUUAGUCGGGUCCUAAGCUGAGGCCGACAGGCGUAGGCGAUGGAUAACAGGUUGAUAUUCCUGUACCACCUAUAAUCGUUUUAAUCGAUGGGGGGACGCAGUAGGAUAGGCGAAGCGUGCGAUUGGAUUGCACGUCUAAGCAGUAAGGCUGAGUAUUAGGCAAAUCCGGUACUCGUUAAGGCUGAGCUGUGAUGGGGAGAAGACAUUGAGUCUUCGAGUCGUUGAUUUCACACUGCCGAGAAAAGCCUCUAGAUAGAAAAUAGGUGCCCGUACCGCAAACCGACACAGGUAGUCAAGAUGAGAAUUCUAAGGUGAGCGAGCGAACUCUCGUUAAGGAACUCGGCAAAAUGACCCCGUAACUUCGGGAGAAGGGGUGCUCUUUAGGGUUAACGCCCAGAAGAGCCGCAGUGAAUAGGCCCAAGCGACUGUUUAUCAAAAACACAGGUCUCUGCUAAACCGUAAGGUGAUGUAUAGGGGCUGACGCCUGCCCGGUGCUGGAAGGUUAAGAGGAGUGGUUAGCUUCUGCGAAGCUACGAAUCGAAGCCCCAGUAAACGGCGGCCGUAACUAUAACGGUCCUAAGGUAGCGAAAUUCCUUGUCGGGUAAGUUCCGACCCGCACGAAAGGCGUAACGAUUUGGGCACUGUCUCAACGAGAGACUCGGUGAAAUCAUAGUACCUGUGAAGAUGCAGGUUACCCGCGACAGGACGGAAAGACCCCGUGGAGCUUUACUGUAGCCUGAUAUUGAAAUUCGGCACAGCUUGUACAGGAUAGGUAGGAGCCUUUGAAACGUGAGCGCUAGCUUACGUGGAGGCGCUGGUGGGAUACUACCCUAGCUGUGUUGGCUUUCUAACCCGCACCACUUAUCGUGGUGGGAGACAGUGUCAGGCGGGCAGUUUGACUGGGGCGGUCGCCUCCUAAAAGGUAACGGAGGCGCUCAAAGGUUCCCUCAGAAUGGUUGGAAAUCAUUCAUAGAGUGUAAAGGCAUAAGGGAGCUUGACUGCGAGACCUACAAGUCGAGCAGGGUCGAAAGACGGACUUAGUGAUCCGGUGGUUCCGCAUGGAAGGGCCAUCGCUCAACGGAUAAAAGCUACCCCGGGGAUAACAGGCUUAUCUCCCCCAAGAGUUCACAUCGACGGGGAGGUUUGGCACCUCGAUGUCGGCUCAUCGCAUCCUGGGGCUGUAGUCGGUCCCAAGGGUUGGGCUGUUCGCCCAUUAAAGCGGUACGCGAGCUGGGUUCAGAACGUCGUGAGACAGUUC